UGCUGAUGAAAUGUGAACAUCAAGCUCGCGCCCUCGUGAGGCCACUAAUUCACCAUUCAAACACAGCUGGGUGGCGUAAAGACCGCUCUUCUGAUAAAUUACAAGCUGUUUAGGUCGAAGACUUCUUUGUCCGGAUUCUUUUUUUGUAUGUCCAGAACACCGCCUUCAAGUGACAGCACUAGCUCUACUCAAUAUACAGCUAGAUGGCGCUGACGCUGCAUUCACAGAAGAAGAAACAACAUUUCUGGUUCAUGGCAAUCCUGGAUUUGAUCAUUCUCUCUAUCAGUCUCUCAGACUUCGAGUGCUCUCCCUCUAUUCCGGACUGGCUCCCAGCUGACAGAUGGGAGGACUUGUUGGCAUUCUCAGUCCUCCCAGGAUCACUAGAGGGCAUAUGUGUUCCAAAAAUAACGAACAAUGAAAGGUGUGGUUCCAUGAGGUGGCACCAGAGACGGUGCCAUUCCCAACAUCAUCAUUUGACAAUUUACCUGAUGAUGAUUCGAACGCUGAACUCUCUGAUUUUCAGCGUUUACUUUUAAUACGAACAUUAUGUGCUGACAGAUUGGAACCAGCAUUAAGGGUGUAUGUGGAGCAACAUAUUGAAGGCACACCUAUGCAUGAGAAUAAGAAGCAGGCUUGAUAAGCAUUAUGACACAACAGAGGGAUGUAUGCCAUCAUAUGCAAAAAUCUAUUUUUAUCGGUUGAAGUGGCCGUACAGAUCCAAAUGAGGCAAUCUUGUUAUAAUAUUUAAUAUAAACUAAAUUAAUAACAAUGCUGUGUAAUAAUGUAUGGGCUAAAAAUGUUUUGCAGAGAUUUGUAUAUUUGCCCGAUAGCCAUUUUAAAUCAUAGAAAUUAUUGAAACACAACAAGAACAUAAGAGUUUAAAAUUUUCUUACCGGAACGAUUUUCUUAAUGAGAAACAGCUAAGCAAACUUUUUACCACAGUGUUAAAACAGGAACUGUAGGUUAAGUAAUGAUAAUAAAAAAG